GACGAACGCUGGCGGCGUGCUUAACACAUGCAAGUCGAACGAAGUGGCGAACGGGUGAGUAACGCGUAAUCAACCUGCCCUUCAGAGGGGGACAACAGUUGGAAACGACUGCUAAUACCGCAUACUGAAGGAGGGGAUUGCGUCUGAUUAGCUAGUUGGAGGGGUAACGGCCCACCAAGGCGAUGAUCAGUAGCCGGUUUGGGAGGAUGGACGGCCACAUUUGGACUGGAGAAAGGCCCCAACUCCUACGGGAGGGAGCAGUGGGGGAUCUUCCGCAAAGGACGAAAGGCUGAAGGAGGAACGCCGCGUGAGUGAUGACGGCCCUCGGGUUUUAAAGCUCUGUUAAUCGGGGCGCGGUACCGGAAUAGAAAGCAACGGCUAACUCCGUGCCAGCAGCCGCGGUAAUUC
rnacentral:rRNA from 1 species